AUUGAACGCUGGCGGCAGGCCUAACACAUGCAAGUCGAGCGGAUGAGUGGAGCUUGCUCCAUGAUUCAGCGGCGGACGGGUGAGUAAUGCCUAGGAAUCUGCCUGGUAGUGGGGGACAACGUUUCGAAAGGAACGCUAAUACCGCAUACGUCCUACGGGAGAAAGUGGGGGAUCUUCGGACCUCACGCUAUCAGAUGAGCCUAGGUCGGAUUAGCUAGUUGGUGAGGUAAAGGCUCACCAAGGCGACGAUCCGUAACUGGUCUGAGAGGAUGCUCAGUCACACUGGAACUGAGACACGGUCCAGAAUCCUACGGGAGGCAGCAGUGGGGAAUAUUGGACAAUGGGCGAAAGCCUGAUCCAGCCAUGCCGCGUGUGUGAAGAAGGUCUUCGGAUUGUAAAGCACUUUAAGUUGGGAGGAAGGGCAGUAAGUUAAUACCUUGCUGUUUUGACGUUACCAACAGAAUAAGCACCGGCUAACUUCGUGCCAGCAGCCGCCGUAACAC
rnacentral:rRNA from 1 species